UACGUAGGGGGCAAGCGUUGUCCGGAAUCAUUGGGCGUAAAGCGCGUGUAGGCGGCUCGGUAAGUCCGCUCUGAAAGUCCAGGGCUCAACCCUGGGAUGCGGGUGGAUACUGUCGGGCUCGAGUCCGGAAGAGGCGAGUGGAAUUCCUGGUGUAGCGGUGGAAUGCGUAGAGAUCCGGAAGAACACCGGAGGCGAAGGCGGCUUGCUGGGCGUGAUCUGACGCUGAGGCGCGAAAGCCAGGGGAGCGAACGGG
rnacentral:rRNA from 1 species